rnacentral:rRNA from 1 species
AGUGGGGAAUCUUCCGCAAUGGACGAAAGUCUGACGGAGCAACGCCGCGUGAACGAUGACGGCCUUCGGGUUGUAAAGUUCUGUUAUACGGGACGAAUGGUACGACGGUCAAUACCCGUCGUAAGUGACGGUACCGUAAGAGAAAGCCACGGCUAACUACGUGCCAGCAGCCGCGGUAAUACGUAGGUGGCAAGCGUUGUCCGGAAUUAUUGGGCGUAAAGGGCGCGCAGGCGGCGUCGUAAGUCGGUCUUAAAAGUGCGGGGCUUAACCCCGUGAGGGGACCGAAACUGCGAUGCUAGAGUAUCGGAGAGGAAAGCGGAAUUCCUAGUGUAGCGGUGAAAUGCGUAGAUAUUAGGAGGAACACCAGUGGCGAAAGCGGCUUUCUGGACGACAACUGACGCUGAGGCGCGAAAGCCAGGGGAGCAAACGGGAUUAGAUACCCCGGUAGUCCUGGCCGUAAACGAUGGAUACUAGGUGUAGGAGGUAUCGACCCCUUCUGUGCCGGAGUUAACGCAAUAAGUAUCCCGCCUGGGGAGUACGGCCGCAAGGCUGAAACUCAAAGGAAUUGACGGGGGCCCGCACAAGCGGUGGAGUAUGUGGUUUAA